UUUUUAGUAUAAGUAUGUCCUAUAUAAUGUUUGGGACAUAUUUAUACUAAGA
rnacentral:pre_miRNA from 1 species